GUUGCGUAGCGUAGUGGUGUAGUGUCUGGAUGUGGAUCAGCUGAUCGUGGGUUCGAGUCCCGCGCGUGCACCC
rnacentral:tRNA from 1 species